GUAGGUGGCAAGCGUUGUCCGGAAUUAUUGGGCGUAAAGCGCGCGCAGGCGGUUCUUUAAGUCUGAUGUGAAAGCCCACGGCUCAACCGUGGAGGGUCAUUGGAAGCUGGAGAACUUGAGUACAGAAGAGGAAAGCGGAAUUCCACGUGUAGCGGUGAAAUGCGUAGAGAUGUGGAGGAACACCAGUGGCGAAGGCGGCUUUCUGGUCUGUAACUGACGCUGAGGCGCGAAAGCGUGGGGGAGCAAACAGGAUUAGAUACCCUGGUAGUCCACGCCGUAAACGAUGAGUGCUAAGUGUUAGGGGGUUUUCCGCCCCUUAGUGCUGCAGCUAACGCAUUAAGCACUCCGCCUGGGAGUACGGCCGCAAGGCUG
rnacentral:rRNA from 1 species